rnacentral:rRNA from 1 species
AAACUAACAAGGAUUCCCCUAGUAACGGCGAGUGAAGCGGGAAGAGCUCAAAUUUGUAAUCUGGCACUUUCAGUGUCCGAGUUGUAAUCUCGAGAAGUAUUUUCCGCGCCGGACCGCAUACAAGUCUGUUGGAAUACAGCGUCAUAGUGGUGAGAACCCCGUAACUGAUGCGGAUGCCCGGUGCUUUGUGAUAUACUUUCGAAGAGUCGAGUUGUUUGGGAAUGCAGCUCAAAUUGGGUGGUAAAUUCCAUCUAAAGCUAAAUAUUGGAGCAAGACCGAUAGCGAACAAGUACCGUGAGGGAAAGAUGAAAAGCACUUUGGAAAGAGAGUUAACAGUACGUGAAAUUGUUGGAAGGGAAACGCUUGAAGUCAGACUUGCUAUUCGGAGUUCAGCCGCAAGGUGUAUUCUUCGAUUCGCAGGCCAGCAUCAGUUUUCGGGGGUGGAAAAUCACGGUUUGAAGGUAGCAACCUCGGUUGUGUUAUAGCUU